rnacentral:lncRNA from 1 species
UGACAAUGAGAAAGGAGAAAACAUUUCAUACAGAAUAUGCUGUAUCACUAGUGAUUAAAUCAGAAACAAUUAGAAACUUUAUUUGUCUGUGUCAGUAAUAUGUACCAUUUAUAAGGAAGAGCACAAUUAGUGCAUUUCCCGCCCCCCCCCCAAGCUGUGCACAAUACACACAAAAUAAAAUAAUUUUACACAACUAUAAUAAUAACAAUCCUGAACAACCAGAAUCAUAGUUUCCUAGAACAUGAAAAUUUAAAAAGCAAACAAACCAAAAAGCUUUCAAAUUGAAAUCGACCAAUGCAAGAAUUUCUUAAAGUUCUCUGUGAAAAUUUGCUACAGGAUUAUUGACAUUCCUAAUACAGCUAAAAAAUGAGUGCAAAAAUUUUUCUAAUGUUUAAACAACUUAUAUUCCUUGAAUAUAUUUACUUGGUGCUUCUAGGCUAGCUUUCCAUUUAGCAAUUCUCAAAAAAAAAAAAAAUAAGGAUGGGAAGGAUGGGUUAGAAUGACAAAGAAUUGUAAAGUGUGGGCCAUAGAAAAGUUCCAUUGCCAACAAAGAUAAAAGAUGGGAUACACUGGGCUUUCUCAGUGAUCUGGAUCACCAACAUGAUUGCCCUUCUUGGUUUAAAAUGGAGAGAUAUAUUUAUCUGCAAGUCGGUCAAAGAUAAAGAGGGUGGUUUUCCAAACAUAUGCCUUAUGCUCUCUUAGUUAAAGAAAUUCUUGGGUAUAAAUACAAUUUGGACAAUUGCUUUGAUACAGUUUCAGUGUGUUUAUGUUAAAAGAGUUUCAUAAUUGUUUUUUCUUGCAAGAUAAAAAUCUUUCCAUAUGGCUUUCUUCACUUUUACUCAUGAAAAUAGUAAUCACAUAAACUGUAACCCUUCUGAGGGCAGGGAUCUAGACUGUUUUGUUCAUGGCUUAGUCCCCAGAAAGUAUCAUACUACCUGGCACAUUAAGUGGGUAACCAGCAUUUAAUUACUCAUUCAGUCACCAAAUGUUUAUUAAAUGAGGAAGGAUCAUGGUUACUGAGUGACAGAAGAAAAAAUAAGUCUCAACAGCUUUAAUUUAUUAAGUAUUUUUGAAUCAAUACAGAGGGCUAGGAAUGUCUCCAGCCUGGGAUUCCUUAUAGACACAGAAGUCUCCGAGAGGUGACCAAAGUCAUUCUAUUAUUUUUCUCAUUAGUGGACUCACUACUUUGGAAUGUUGGGUUUAUCCAUGUUCUUUGGUAUUUUAACAUAGAAACAGCUAUUCUUUUUAAAGGGUUAAAAAUAUCCCAGUCCAAUCCUCCUGGGAGGUACUAGUCUUAUUUAAUUGCCUUCUCUUUCAGCAUAAGUAGAGGAGACAACACUUUUAAAGGCCCGUUGGUCACCCUGGCUUCUUUCUUACUCAGCAACUACUGAUAUAAUCAAAGAGGACUAGACUGGACAGUGAAAGAAACAGGGCUCAAAAUAGCCUUUUAAGUAAAAAAAUAAAAUGAACAAACCAGCACUAUCUACCAUCUGUGCCAGACAGUGCAGAUGUGAAAUAAAUACUUUGCAGGGAGGGGUGUUGUGGAAAGGGUGGCUCUGAAAGCCUAGGCACAUCCAACAUAUCAACGUCUCUAUAAGGCCUUUCUCCUUGGCCUUCCUGAAUUAAUGGGUGAUUUUUAGAGGCCUCUGAUGUGUUCCACAUGGCUAAUUUUCCAUGAAGAUCUUUGUAGUUUGCCUGCUAUCCUCUCAAUAGCUUUAACUUCUCCCCACAUGACAGUUAUUGCUUCUUAGAAAUGAAUGUGCAGAACCGUGAACAAUAAUCCAUUUUCUCCUUUUAUCCCUAGUAAUUAAUCAAACUCAAUAACAGCACAAAAGUAACAACUCAGGUGAAAAGAAAACUCACUUAUGUCUUCAAUGUCCAAUCAACAUUGCCAAAUGGGAGAACAGUAUGUACUAUACUCUACUAUAUACAGAUACUCUUUGUUUUGUUUUAUUUGUUUUUCACCAUGCACUGUGUAACAGGUAUCACAACAACAUUUCCGAACGGCACAUGAAGAAGGAGCAAAUGUUCAGUCAUGACUGGAACAGGAUUGUGCAAGCCAUGGAUGCCUUUGAAAAUAAAACUGACAGACAAUCCCAAGCAACGGCAACAUGGGACUGAGACACAUGUUAAUGCAAAUGGAAAACGAUGAUGUGCUUUUUGAAUGGGGUUAUUCUUACUGUUUGCAUAGGGGAUGGCAGGUGGACAGGAGGAACAGGGUUGGGAUGGGGCACCUGGGGGCUUAGCUGGGCUGAAUGCUGGAAGAAGGACCUUGCCAAUCACAGUCCAGAGCUAAAGAGAUAAGAAAGAAAGGAUUUUGCACGUUCCUGGGAAUCUAGGCACGUUUUCCUUGUACCUGUUAAACGAGACUGCCAGGUAUCACAUGUUUAAAUAUCAGACUAUUUCUAGAACCAUCGGAUUUCCUGGCUCCAUUCCACUUUUAUGCUUCUUCUUGGAGGCAGCUUCACCUCCACUCACAUUCCGGAGAUAAGCAUGAACUUUGGUAAUACGAUGAAGACAUGCUUCUUUCUUCUUCCAUGCCCAGAUUUUUUCUUAAUCCAAAAUAAGUUUUAAAGUGAUUGGGGGAGGUGAGGGGGAAUACUAAUGAUUUAAAUUUUUACCAAAACCCAUUUACAUUUGGAUGGUUUCACUUUCCACAAAGAAAAGCAACAACCCUGACUCUCCCAAAAAAACAAAACAAAACAAAAUAACAAAAAUAAAGCCAAACAUUAACUACCUCCCCAGCUCCACUGAAAACAAAACCAAAAACAAAACAAAUCAAAGCCUUAAGGAUUUAUCAACCUGGAGAGAGUGCAGCCCUUCUAGACUGAGCUGCAAAGAUGGCCCUGCCUCCAUGCCUUGUUGAACAUGAUGAUGCCCCUGGGAAUGGGAGGUGAUGGUUUUUUACUUCGGCCCUAGUACAGAGUAUGCUCUUGAAGCUGGAUUCCAUCAGCAGGUUUUGGAAAUCACUAGUGGGUAAAAAAGACCAAUUUGCAACUAGGCUCUCAUGCUCUGUUGAAAACUAUGUCACAAUAUCACAAUACUAGAUGCUGGGCUCAAGACAGCAAACAGAAAGCAGCAAGGGCAGUGACUGGAAGCUGGGAGAGAGGGUCAACAGCUGAAUCUCAGCCUGAUGGAGGCCACCAUUUAAUAAGUAAAUACAUGCACGGCUAUUUAGAUCCUGCAUCAGACAGGUCAUCAGAAAACAUGAAGCUAAAUGCAGUAAAGAAUUACUCUCUUGAACUCUUGAAAAUAUCAAAAACAUGAAGCUAAAUGCAGUAAAGAAUUAGUCUCUUGAACUCUUGAAAAUAUCAUUUUCUUAUAGAAAUGGUUUAAAAAUUUCUUUUUUAUUAUUUCUAAUUUUCCUUCAGAAAAUUGUGAGUUUUAACCUACAACACAUACACUCCAAGGUAAUGCCACUCUAAUGCUGUCUAGUUGAUCUGAAUAACUAACUGGUCAAUUAUCAGAUCCACCAAACUGUCUCUCUGGAGAUUAACUUCUGCCAGCAUAUUGGUUUCUGUUCAUUUUCACAAGAUUGACAGGCUCAUUACAGCAAUAUUAACAUCUUCCUUUGAGCACUCACACUGUGCAAUUGUAAUUUUGCAUAUGUUGAUGAGCAGGCAAUUACAUCAAAGAGUGAACACUGGGCUGAUGUGCAAGGCACUAUUUAAUUAUAAAAACAGUAUAGGAUUGAGCCCUGUCACUGAGUCUUCCAUUCCUUCUAUCUCGCCUGUUUCUAAUUUAUUUCUCUAUUUCUUCAUUUCUUCCUUGACUGUCUUCAUUCUUUGCUUUUUAUUUCUUUCUCCUUAAAUGACAGACCUUUUCUUAGAUGCCAUUUCUCUAUGUCUGCGCUUAAGACAAGAAUUUUUUUCCUCCUAGUUGUUGGUUAAUGUCUGCAAAUGUGAGAGCAUGUUAACAUGACAAACAACAAGGAAUUUGAAAUAAACUUAAAUGAAACA